CACAACCGGAUACGGACAAGUGACGCCACCUACCCCUUCGUCCUUGCCCUGCAGGAGGUGAACGGCGCCGGAUCGCUGUAAGUCAGGCAGGAACCAGAUGGGGUAGCUUUUGAUGAGUCGCUCACACGGCUCACACUCCGACCCAUCCCCGCUGCCAGUCUGCAGACGAGACCCCACCACCUCUUAUUAGUACUCCGUGACACUAUGAAUUGUGACCCUGCCUCUCGCACAAGCACCGUCCACAUUUAUAUAAGAACGUCAUUGUACGACAGAGUAGCCAGCUAAACAGCCGAGCCCUCAGCGUGCGCCUCCCGCCGGACAAGGGACCCUACAUCCAACACUACCUCAUUGAGAUCCACAACGAAGGCUCCUCCUACUCACUCCAAGCUUCUGAAAACCGCUUCGACACCCUUCCUUCGCUCAUCACCUAUUAUUCUCAGUGCUGCGAAGAGUUGCUGGCUCAGCUCAAGCUUCCUCGCACCAUCCAGGAGGCCAAGACCCGCCAUGAACUCGGCUCUCUCUCGCUGCUCGGACAAGGUGGUGCAUCACAGCGUCAGACUCACAGAGGAUGUGUAGCCGAGGCAAUGACACGUGGACGGCGCUGAUGGCGGCCAGAACCUCUUGGGCGUCUUGGUCACACACGGCCAGGCUGAGCACCCCCAGGUCCCGCCACUCCUGCAGCAGCUGUGUGCCGGCACCACUUAAGUGACCCAUGAACCUCUCAAGAAACAGUUGGCCAAAAUAAUAAUGGCAGAAGUAAGACUAAGCUUUGAAGAAAGAACAUGUCAUAAAGUGUUACUGGAGGCACGAAAAUGUCAAAGAAGUGCAAAGACAAUUCACAAGACACUUUGACAGGGAUCCACCAAGGUGACGCGCCAUUGC